rnacentral:rRNA from 1 species
UACGUAGGGUGCAAGCGUUAAUCGGAAUUACUGGGCGUAAAGCGUGCGCAGGCGGUGAUGUAAGGCAGAUGUGAAAUCCCCGGGCUUAACCUGGGAACUGCGUUUGAAACUGGAAGGCUAGAGUGUGGCAGAGGGGGGUGGAAUUCCACGUGUAGCAGUGAAAUGCGUAGAGAUGUGGAGGAACACCGAUGGCGAAGGCAGCCCCCUGGGCUAACACUGACGCUCAUGCACGAAAGCGUGGGGAGCAAACAGG